AUGCAGAUCUCCUCUAGAGCAGUGAUGUUUUGGGGCUGUUUCUGGGCAACAUGGACUUUUAACUCCCUCCAAAGAUUUUCUAUGGAGUUGAGAUCUGGAGACUGGUUAGGCCACUCCAGGACCUUGAAAUGCUUCUUACGAAGCCAUUCUCUCGUUGCCGGGCGGUGUGUUUGGGAUCAUUGUCAUGCUGAAAGACCCAGCCACGUUUCAUCUUCAUUGCCCUUGCUGAUGGAAGGAGGUUUUCACUCAAUCUCACGAUACAUGGCCCCAUUCAUUCUUUCCUUUACACGGAUCAGUCAUCCUGGUUCCUUUGCAGAAAAACAGCCCCAAAGCAUGAUGUUUCCUCCCCCAUGCUUCACAGUAGGUAUGGUGUUCUUUGGAUGUAACUCAGCAUUCUUUGUCCUCCAAACACGACGAGUUGAGUUUUUACCAAAAAGUUGUAUUUUGGUUUCAUCUGACCAUAUGACAUUCUCCCAAUCUUCUUCUGGAUCAUCCAAAUGCUCUCUAGCAAACUUCAGACGGGCCUGGACAUGUACUGGCUUAAGCGGGGGGACACGUCUGGCACUGCAGGAUUUGAGUCCCUGGUGGCGUAGUGUGUUACUGAUGGUAUGCUUUGUUACUUUGGUCCCAGCUCUCUGCAGGUCAUUCACUAGGUCCCCCCGUGUGGUUCUGGGAUUUUUGCUCACCGUUCUUGUGAUCAUUUUGACCUCAUGGGGUGAGUUCUUGCGUGGAGCCUCAGAUCGGGGGAGAUUAUCAGUGGUCUUGUAUGUCUACCAUUUCCUAAUAACUGCUCCCACAGUUGAUUUCUUCAAACCAAGCUGCUUACCUAUUGCAGAUUCAGUCUUCCCAGCCUGGUGCAGGUCUACAAUUUUGUUUCUGGUGUCCUUUGACAGCUCUUUGGUCUUGGCCAUAGUGGAGUGUGACUGUUUGAGGUUGUGGACAGGUGUCUUUUAUACUGAUAACAAGUUCAAACAGGUGCCAUUAAUACAGGUAACGAGUGGAGGACAGAGGAGCCUCUUAAAGAAGAGGUUACAGGUCUGUGAGAGCCAGAAAUCUUGCUUGUUUGUAGGUGACCAAAUACUUAUUUUCCACCAUAAUUUGCAAAUAAAUUCAUAA
rnacentral:lncRNA from 1 species